rnacentral:rRNA from 1 species
GACGAACGCUGGCGGCGUGCCUAAUACAUGCAAGUCGAACGCUUCUUUCCUCCCGAGUGCUUGCACUCAAUUGGAAAGAGGAGUGGCGGACGGGUGAGUAGCACGUGGGUAACCUACCCAUCAGAGGGGGAUAACACUUGGAAACAGGUGCUAAUACCGCAUAACAGUUUAUGCCGCAUGGCAUAAGAGUGAAAGGCGCUUUCGGGUGUCGUUGAUGGAUGGACCCGCGGUGCAUUAGCUAGUUGGUGAGGUAACGGCUCACCAAGGCCACGAUGCAUAGCCGACCUGAGAGGGUGAUCGGCCACACUGGGACUGAGACACGGCCCAGACUCCUACGGGAGGCAGCAGUAGGGAAUCUUCGGCAAUGGACGAAAGUCUGACCGAGCAACGCCGCGUGAGUGAAGAAGGUUUUCGGAUCGUAAAACUCUGUUGUUAGAGAAGAACAAGGACGUUAGUAACUGAACGUCCCCUGACGGUAUCUAACCAGAAAGCCACGGCUAACUACGUG